UACACUCCUGCGGGAGGCAGCAGUGGGGAAUAUUGGACAAUGGGCGCAAGCCUGAUCCAGCCAUGCCGCGUGAGUGAUGAAGGCCCUAGGGUUGUAAAGCUCUUUCACCGGAGAAGAUAAUGACGGUAUCCGGAGAAGAAGCCCCGGCUAACUUCGUGCCAGCAGCCGCGGUAAUACGAAGGGGGCUAGCGUUGUUCGGAAUUACUGGGCGUAAAGCGCACGUAGGCGGAUCGAUCAGUCAGGGGUGAAAUCCCAGGGCUCAACCCUGGAACUGCCUUUGAUACUGUCGAUCUGGAGUAUGGAAGAGGUGAGUGGAAUUCCGAGUGUAGAGGUGAAAUUCGUGGAUAUUCGGAGGAACACCAGUGGCGAAGGCGGCUCACUGGUCCAUUACUGACGCUGAGGUGCGAAAGCGUGGGGAGCAAACAGGAUUAGAAACCCCUGUAGUCCCAU
rnacentral:rRNA from 1 species